rnacentral:rRNA from 1 species
CAGCAGCCACGGGAAUACGAAGGGGGCUAGCGUUGCUCGGAAUGACUGGGCGUAAAGGGCGCGUAGGCGGCCAUUCAAGUUAGAUGUGAAAGCCCUGGGCUCAACCUAGGAAUUGCAUUUGAUACUGUUUGGCCUGAGUUCGGGAGAGGUGAGUGGAAUUCCCAGUGUAGAGGUGGAAUUCGUAGAAAUGUGGAGGAAUACCGAUGGCGAAGGCAGCCCCCUGGGCCAAUACUGACGCUCAUGCACGAAAGCGUGGGGAGCAAACAGGAUUAGAUACCCCUGUAGUCCCUGUCUCUUAUAA